UGCUGUGAAACAGUUCAGAAGCUCCGUGUAUUGUCCUUGAUACGUGAAAACUAGACAAUGCACAGUAAUAACUCUGAUGAGCUGCGUCAGUGUAAAAUAGCCCAAACCUACCUUCUGUUUCAGGCGAUGUUGUGUUGGAUGGAGCUUGACUGCCCUCAAAACUCAGGAACGGCAGUUUCCCUGAAGGGGUAUUCUGUUCCAAGUUUGUGGUAGUUAGCCAAGAAAUAUUACAUGAUUACUAUUACUCUCUCUCCCCUUUUUAAAACCUGUUCACGAUAAUUAUUGUAUACAUUACCUUUAUUUUUGUAAUCUUCUCCCAUAUUUGUGGAUAUUCUCGAGUGAAAUAGACGAGGCCAUGUAGGGAACACAUGAAGUUACCUAGGAGCAGAGUCUAAAAUAUCUUUUUGAGGGACCUCAAACUAUUAUCAUUUGCUAUACUAUUGAUCAUUACGUUACGUACAUCUUAUUCGUAUAUGGAAAGUACUUAAUGAAGAUAAUAUACUUUAGAUUUUUUUAUGUAACCAUUUAAGUAUUUGUUGAAAUGCUUUUGUUACUGAUAAAUACAUGUACAUUUAAAUUGAUUUUGUUCUGUCUGUGAUUUUGUAGAUCUGGAUGUUCAGCUGGUCUCAGAUCAAGCAUCCUCCUCUGUAUUGACCCCACUAUCCCCAGCUUCAUCCCAUUCAUCAGAUUCCACAAUUGUCCUGGAGUCCAGAAGAAAGAGAAGGAACCCAACAGGGUUAAUGGAGCAGAAUGAAGCAAGACAGAAAGUUGAUUGUGUUCUGAGGGUCAAUCCAAAGAGUGAGGAAAUCUUCAAGGAGUAUGAAAAGACCAAAACACUAACAUGUCUGCAACCAGGACGUUCACCAUCUGUUUACGUGUGGCAUAUGUUAGAGCUACAUGGGAGGAUUCCAUGGUCAAGUGUGAGGACCAAUUAUGCACUGGGAAUUGUGACUCUUUUUCCAUACCUCCAAGAUCCUUUCUCCAAACAUGGAUAUGAACACUACUAUGAUCCUUUAGGGUAAUACUGGCUUCAUUGCAUGGAGGAUCAAGACAGUUCAACAUAACACCUGUGCUGGCUCCCGGUGUCAUUCCAAGACUGUUCUUCAGGACGGUCCAAAAAACAGACAAGAAUCUCUGUUAACUUGUCAACAGCGAUUUGGUGAGGAGUGCAGGGAGGCGAUAUCUACAAUACGAUAUUCCACUGAUGAGAAGAUGAGCGACUUUCCAGUAUUGACAGAAGAUGGUGGGUGAGGAUGCAUCAUCUUCAGUCCUGGAUUUGUUCACUUGUUUCCUUGCUGUAUCUGGAUUGAUCGACCACGAUUUCUCCAUGAUGUUUGGUGACGAAGUGUCUCAGAAGUUCCUGGCAAAGUGGUCAACAUUCUUCAAGCCAAAAAUCAUUGCAGACUGCAAGACUCUUAAGAGUAUGGGCGAGCUGCUGUCAGGAACUGAACCUGAAUCUGAGGACUAAAAUGGAUGGGACAGCGAUAUGUCCUCAAUCCUUUUGCAGCUGCAUCUGCUCCCUCUAACCUCAAGAGGCCAGAAAAAAAAUAUCCAAGAUCAGUUCAGCUCAAGCAACCAGCCAUCUUGUGAGCUACCUUAAGGUAUGCAAAAGUUAAUAUUUAAACAUCAGAUCUUAAUUUUAGGAGCUCUUGAGGUGUAGGUUAUUUUGGGAUUCUGAGACCUGCAUCUCAUUUUGC